UGGCUUACAGUAGCCUGGGUAAAUUAGGGUUGGGCGAUACGGAGAAAAUCAAAUUCACGAUAUUUUUGAACAAAUACCUCGGUAUCAAUACCGCAACGAUAUAUUGUAGUGUUGCCGAUUG